AUUGAACGCUGGCGGCAUGCCUUACACAUGCAAGCCGAACGGUAACGGGCCUUCGGGUGCCGACGAGUGGCGAACGGGUGAGUAAUAUAUCGGAACGUACCUUUCAGUGGGGGAUAACGUAGCGAAAGUUACGCUAAUACCGCAUAUUCUGUGCGCAGGAAAGCAGGGGACCUUCGGGCCUUGCGCUGAUUGAGCGGCCGAUAUCAGAUUAGCUAGUUGGUGAGGUAAAGGCUCACCAAGGCGACGAUCUGUAGCGGGUCUGAGAGGAUGAUCCGCCACACUGGAACUGAGACACGGUCCAGACUCCGACGGGGGGCAGCAGUGGGGAAUUUUGGACAAUGGGGGCAACCCUGAUCCAGCCAUGCCGCGUGAGUGAAGAAGGCCUUCGGGUUGUAAAGCUCUUUCGGCCGGGAAGAAAUCGUAUGGGCUAAUACCCUGUGCGGAUGACGGUACCGGCAUAAGAAGCACCGGCUAACUACGUGCCAGCCGCCGCCGUAAAAC
rnacentral:rRNA from 1 species